UACGGGGGGGGCAAGCGUUGUUCGGAAUUACUGGGCGUAAAGGGCGCGUAGGCGGCCAUCUAAGUCAGACGUGAAAUCCCUCGGCUCAACCGAGGAACUGCGUCUGAUACUGGAAGGCUUGAAUCCGGGAGAGGGAUGUGGAAUUCCAGGUGUAGCGGUGAAAUGCGUAGAUAUCUGGAGGAACACCGGUGGCGAAGGCGGCAUCCUGGACCGGUAUUGACGCUGAGGCGCGAAAGCUAGGGGGAGCAAACGGG
rnacentral:rRNA from 1 species